AAAAGACUGAUAUCUAGAAUACAUAAAAAAACUCAAAAAGACCCAAUCCAAAAAUGAACCCUCAGAAGCCUACUUGGAUAGCUGUGGCUAAUUAUCUUUGGAUUCUCAGUCCUGCCUGUAAGGCCAAACUGAUACUUUUGUAGUCAUUAUGACUUAAUGGAACUUUUUUUAUAUGGUUGCCUAGAAACCACUUUUUCAAGCCAAACGCCCUCCAAAACACACACAGCUUUCUCUUAGGGGAAGAUGCAGUUUUAAAUCUGGGCCAAAGACCUCAGGUGAAAAAGGUGACGGAUCCACAGGGAGAAAUCCAUAUUGAAUCAGAGGUUCUUGUAGAAGCAGGAGAAGGAGUAGGUUACACAGAGCCGGUUCUCAGCUUAGAUGUGGGGUCUGAAGUUAAAGCCGCACAUACGCCUUGGCAUCCGUGUCCAGGAGAGGCGGUGAAGGAGACGUCAGCAGGGGACCUGCUCUUCCGGCUCUAGUUCCAGAAUCCUGCCAAAAUGAAGUUUCGAAGGCAAAUGGGGUUUCUGGUUUCUACAGCAACCUCUUAUGAUUCCUGAAUAGAAAGAACGUUUAAUCCUCUCCUCACCGCUGGGAUUUCCCAGACUAAAUCAACGGUCCUUCGGGACAGCAAUAAAGUCAGCAAAAGCAAUUAUCCUCAGACAAGCAGACGGGCAGACUCUUGUCACUGCUCAUCCUGCAAUUCCAUGAGAAGGAUGAAGCCGAGGAUUUGUGUCUGAACGAAACUGCCCUUCCAUAACUCCAGGGCCCUGCCUCUCACAGCACCCAACUGGGUAAAGCCAAGAGCACCAUCUUUUGUUUUUUCAGCAAAUGACAGCUGUGCAUGGGAUUUGGAGCCAAGGUCUCACAGGGAUUUAGAAGUUCAGCAGGUGCAGUACUAUCAAAAGGUAUCUCAUGUCUGAGCAAUUUAACUAGAUGUCCUGGGCCAAGAGACUCACUGUUGUCAUCAACCAAGAGAGUUGAGACAUCUUAAUCUAAAAACACUAUUUUCUAUAUUGGAGCUUUGAGGCUGAAGCUGAUGAGCUAAAGCUUUCUUUUUAAAAACAGCCAUCUUCUGAGGAAAAUCCUCCAUAUUCAGGAUUAUUUUCUCUUUUGGGAACAGGAAAAUUUCCUACUCAUCCCCCUGGACUCCUGCGGCAGUUUACUCUGUGGCAAUGUCCACAGAGUAAGGUCUGCAUUUCUGAACACUGGCUCAUUCAAACGCCAGAGAUGACGCAGCCAUUUUAAUUUUUCUAAAAGAAGCUUCUCAGGAACACAGGACCAUAGGACGAGAACAACUCUUCCUCCUCCUCCUCCUCCUCCUCCUCCUUCUUUGGCAAGAUAGAGGAAGAUGGAAAAAUAUAAGGCCAGUGUGUAAUCUGACACUCCACAGAAAAUGCAACAUCCUGAACCAGAUAAAACAAUUUUGUUAUGACCUGCAAGAUUCAUAUUAAAUAAA